GUCUGGUGCCAGCAGCCGCGGUAAUUCCAGCUCCAAUAGCGUACGUUAAAGUUGCUGCAGUUAAAAAGCUCGUAGUUGAACGUUCGGGUUCCGCGGGACGGGGCCGCCCCGCGAGGGACGGCGCCGCCCCGGGGCUCGUGAUAUCUCAUCUCGCCGCCCGUCGCGAGGCGGACGGAGGGAUGGAUGAGGUUACCUGGAAAAAAUCGGGGCGAUCUAGGCGGGCGAACCUCGCCAACGAACGAUCGGACAUGGGAUAACGGAAGAGGGCGUCGGCUCGACUUCGUCGGUUCCUCGGGCCGAGGCACGUACGGUGAAUAGGGACGGUCGGGGCCGCCCGUACCGGGUCGUGAGAGGUGAAAUUCUAGGAUCGACCCGAGACGAACCGCCGCGAAAGCAUUCGGCAAGGACGCUUUCAUUAAUCAAGAACGAAAGUCGGGGGAUCGAGACGAUCAGAUACCGUCGUAGUCCCGACCGUAAACGAUGCCGACCGAGGGCCGGACGGAGUUACGUACGACCCUCCGG
rnacentral:rRNA from 1 species